GAUGAAGAACGUAGCGAAAUGCGAUAAGUAAUGUGAAUUGCAGAAUUCAGUGAACCAUCGAAUCUUUGAACGCACAUUGCGCCCGGCAGUAAUCUGCCGGGCAUGCCUGUCCGAGCGUCAUUUCUCCCCUCGAGCGCAGCUUUCCCCCCCGGGGGAGGGCCGCGCCCGGUGUUGGGGCGCUACGGAGGAGCCCAGCGCUCCCCCGUAGGCCCCGAAAUGUAGUGGCGGUCCCGCCGCGGCGCCCCCUGCGUAGUAGUUUUACAACUCGCAUCGGGUCCCGGCGGAGGCCAGCCGUCAAACCCCCCAACUUCAAUUGUUUGACCUCGGAUCAGGUAGGGUUACCCGCUGAACUUAAGCAUAUCAAUAAGCGGAGGA
rnacentral:misc_RNA from 1 species